AUCGUGCUUUCUCAAACGAUUGUGUAUAAUAUAUACAUAUCGCACAUGAUCGAAAAUAUGUAUACGGUCAGCUUAAUCGAUUAAGUUGUACUAGAAUAUCGUCGGGAAUAACAUCAUGCUCUUCCUUAUUUCUUACCUCGUAAAUAACAAUAACUGGUCAUUGCGUGAAACUCUAAUCUUAUCCUCAAACACGCAUUGAGAUCAUGGAGCUGCAUCUUUCCGCUCUGAUUUUACCGUUCCGGUAGAAUAAAUUCUUGCUCGUGUUACUACGUUUUCUUAUGUUCGCUACGGAGGAGCGAAUAUAUGAAGAGUAGAGAGAGUAACGUUCGAUAUUCAUUCGCAUAUCACCUAUUUGUCCUUUCUUAUUGCAGCAACUCGAACUCUUCAGAUUCAUACAGAUCGUCCUCCAGUGUUUCGUGACCGACGAACGAAGUUGUAGACGGUAAGAGACCUUCGACGACCUCGAUACCCUGCUGGAGAUCCUUGCCACUUCCCUCGCAGAACAGGAACAUCGGAUAGUUCGUCUUCUGAUUCGGUAUCACAAACUGUAAUAAGUUUUACCUUGAGAUUCUUCCCCUUACGCACAAAAUUAAAUAUAGAUUUUAUCUUUCUAUUUAUCUCACUCUAAGAAUCGGUUCCAUUUCACUUAUCUUCUAUUUCUAAAAUCCAAUGACUCAUAUACAUAAGUCGAGAGGAGAUAUCUACCUUAUCUUAUUUGCUGUACUAAACUAUACUUAAGCAAUUACAUUAGGAUUAAAAAUAUGCAUAUUUACUCGUCGAAUUGUCUCCAUAAAGUCUGUGAGCGACUCCCUAUUGGGAAAAUAGAAGCCUACGCAACAACUAGGGUCCAUCUUCGACAGUAACAUCUUUCUCGGCGACGCACAGUGGAAGCUUGUUAACGGAAAAUCAUUUUUCCACACAUCUACAGUUUCCUAUUGAAAACUACCUGACAAUAAUGCGGAUCCAGAUGAAUCAGUUUAUCGUCCUGGUAGCCGAUGAAAUAGAGUGAAUGUCGUGGUCGGCCGCCGAUCACGCCGAUGCACGUGUCCAACGUAAGUAACGAUGUCAGACAAGGCGCGUAGACGGGGUUCAGCUUGUCGGCGCCGAGCCGCAGAGGCACCAACAACACCAACGCUUUCCAUUUACCAUCGGGAGUCCGACAAACAUUCUCGACGUCUUGUAGAUAUACUAGAUACAUAUAGAAAACAAAGUUUGAUUUAAUUCUUCAAUUCGGCACAGCAAUCUUUUCUAUUAAAUUUAACAUUUAAAUGCAAAAUUCAGUCCUGCAGAAAAAUGGAUAUUUUUCUAUGCAGUCCUAUAUUCAUUGGUCACCAACCUGCGCAAUCCUGAGCGACGUAUACCGCCAACUGAUCGAGAUUGUUGUCGUGCUGUUCGCUGGCACAUUCCACAGCUUGACACAAGAGAUGCGCCACCGAGGAGGGUCCGUACCAGUCGCCGGCACGUUUUCCCGCGGAAGCGCCCAGAAGUACCAGCCUGUGUAUAGAGAACGGGGAUUCUGAUUGAUCACCGAACCACUUGAUGAUCAUUCGAUGAUUACGCUCGUCCAGCCUUUGUUCAAGAGUUUCGGCUUGCUGUUCCGAGCGCCAUCUCCAUUCUAAAAUAAGUAAACUUAUUCAGUUCUAAUAAUAUAACACAAUAGCAAUCAGAUUAGUAUAAACAAAAUUUGAGCUUAUCAAAUAAAAUUAAA